rnacentral:rRNA from 1 species
GUGAACGCUGGCGGUAGGCCUAACACAUGCAAGUCGAACGGCAGCACAGUAAGAGCUUGCUCUUACGGGUGGCGAGUGGCGGACGGGUGAGGAAUACAUCGGAAUCUACUUUUUCGUGGGGGAUAACGUAGGGAAACUUACGCUAAUACCGCAUACGACCUACGGGUGAAAGCAGGGGAUCUUCGGACCUUGCGCGAUUGAAUGAGCCGAUGUCGGAUUAGCUAGUUGGCGGGGUAAAGGCCCACCAAGGCGACGAUCCGUAGCUGGUCUGAGAGGAUGAUCAGCCACACUGUAACUGAGACACGGUCCAGACUCCUACGGGAGGCAGCAGUGGGGAAUAUUGGACAAUGGGCGGAAGCCUGAUCCAGCCAUACCGCGUGGGUGAAGAAGGCCUUCGGGUUGUAAAGCCCUUUUGUUGGGAAAGAAAAGCAGCAGGUUAAUACCCCGCUGUUCUGACGGUACCCAAAGAAUAAGCACCGGCUAACUUCGUG